rnacentral:rRNA from 1 species
UNUUGGAGGCCGGCGGCNGGUUUAACACAUGCACGUCUGAGCUGGUAGCACAGGGAGCUUGCUCCUGGGUGACGAGCGGCGGACGGGUGAGUAAUGUCUGGGAAACUGCCUGAUGGAGGGGGAUAACUACUGGAAACGGUAGCUAAUACCGCAUAACGUCUUCGGACCAAAGAGGGGGACCUUCGGGCCUCUUGCCAUCAGAUGUGCCCAGAUGGGAUUAGCUAGUAGGUGAGGUAAUGGCUCACCUAGGCGACGAUCCCUAGCUUGGUCUGAGAGGAUGACCAGCCACACUGGAACUGAGACACGGUCCAGACUCCUACGGGAGGCAGCAGUGGGGAAUAUUGCACAAUGGGGCGCAAGCCUGAUGCAGCCAUUGCCGCGUGUAUGAAGAAAGGCCUUCGGGUUGUAAAAGUACUUUCAGCCNAGGAGGAAGCAUUGUGGUUAAUAACCCGCAGUGAUUGCGUUCUCGCAGAAGAAGCCCGGCUAACUCCGUGCCAGCAGCCGCGGUAAUU